rnacentral:rRNA from 1 species
UACAGAGGUCUCAAGCGUUGUUCGGAUUCAUUGGGCGUAAAGGGUGCGUAGGCGGCGCGGUAAGUCGGAUGUGAAAUCUCGGAGCUUAACUCCGAAACUGCAUUCGAUACUGCCGUGCUUGAGGACUGGAGAGGAGACUGGAAUUUACGGUGUAGCGGUGAAAUGCGUAGAGAUCCGGAGGAACACCGAAGGCGAAGGCAGUCUCCUGGCAAGUUACUGACGCUCAGGUGCGAAAGCUAGGGGAGCGAACAGG